CCAUAGGCAGUGUUUUCCACGUUCUCUAGUUGCUAAGAGCCCUGCCACUUUCCUCUGUGACGACAAUCUGAGAUUUCGUAGCCAAGCUUACUGAGAUUCUCAUUUUUGAAGGAAGCCAAUAACUGGGAGAAAGAUAAACAUUUACUUAAGGUGUAAGGCACGAAGACAGAUGAGUGAACGACUUAGACGUCAGAGGAUUUCAUCAUUUGGGAAUGAGCUGUGUUCACUGACAAAACGUUGUAAAGAUGUAUCGUGUUUCAUCCAGAACACAGACGACUAUACGGGAUAAUGCAGAAUCCGGGAUGAGGGAUUUUGAAUAUCAGUUUCCAAGGUUACAGUGGAGAGACGAAAGCCGGAACUCGCAGGGCGUGGCGGGC